AUGGAGUUGGAACUGAGCUUAAUUUUUAUUUUUGCUCUUUUAAAAGAUGUCCAGUGUGAAGCACAGCUGGUGGAGUCUGGAGGAGGCUUGGUGCAACCUGGGGCUUCUCUGAAACUCUCCUGUGUAGCCUCAGGGUCCACUUUCAGUAACUACUGGGUGUACUGGUUUUGGCAGACUCCUGGAAAGGCAGUGGAAAGGAUUGGAGAGAUUAAGUAUGAUGGCAGUGGGGCAAACUAUGCACCAUCCCUAAAGAAUCGAUUCACAAUGUCCAGAAACAAUGGCAAGAGUACCCUGUAUCUGCAGAUGAGCAAUGUGAGAUCUGAGGACACAGCCACUUAUUACUGUCUUGGAUACGCAAUGAGUGAACUUCAGUGUGAAACACAGACCUUACAGUUUGUGUCCACCAGGGGGCGUACAGUACCUCUGGUAUCUACAAUCACGGUUCAGACCAGAUUAUAA